rfam:Loxodonta africana unplaced genomic scaffold scaffold_4, whole genome shotgun sequence.
GGCGAGGUGACCGAGUGGUUAAAGUGACGGACUGCUAAUCCAUUGUGCUAUGCACUCGUGGGUUCAAAUCCCAUCCUCGUCG